AGACCAUGAUAGGGGCAUCUCCUUACUAAGUCUUUAAAUCAUUCCCAUGCCUCAUAUAAGUACUCAUCAUGGCUUUGGGAGAACUUAGUGAUUGCCUCUUAAAGCUU
rfam:Ricinus communis cultivar Hale ctg_1100012357165, whole genome shotgun sequence.